CUGGCAAAGAGGAAGUACCAUGAUGAGUCAGAACCAGCUUGAUGGUAACUAACAACAAUAUGUGUGGUAAAUAUAAUAUCUGUGAAUAACAAUUACCAAAAAGCACAAACACAUCCAAGAAAUAUUUCAAGGCUUAAAUCCAUAAGCCAACUCUACCUAAGAGAAGAAUGACACCCUCAAUCAAGAAAAAAAUAUAUAACUGAACAAAUCAUUCACAUCAGGAUGGAAACGAACACAAAGGUAAA